CGGCUGGAAAGAAAAGAAUCCGAGCGAGAGAGAGAGAGAGAGAGAGAGAUAUGAAGCCUAUUCAAUGUUUUGGCCGGAAGGAAUUUGAUGGAAAGCUAGGGAUUAAAGAUAAAGAAAGAUCUUGAAGACUAAUACGUCACGCGCUAUUGUUCUCCUGAUCUAUCUGAAUUGUCUGCAUUAUCUGAUCUGCUAGUGGAGCCAUCUGUGGUCAGGCGCCGGAGCAAAGUUAGCUGCGUCAGUCUAAAUUCGUUUUGUCAAGCCAACCUACUGUGCCUCACCACGAGAUUCCAAACCGUUAUUGUCAAGGCUUUGUUUGGGGUGGUCUAAAUCCACUUCAAGUGAAUGUUUCCUAAGUUGUUUUGGCUUUGGGAUUUAAUUUCCCAACAUGUCUUUUAUUUUGUACUUAGACGUGUUUUGGACUUCAGUUUUUACAUAUAUACUGAAUAUAGACUGGGACUUAUGUCUGUAUUGGUAUAUGUAUAUAUAAGUUGUUUGUGCAUUUAAGUCCUCACAGCUCUUUGGACAUCAUAUUUUAAUAUUUACAAGCUUCCGCCGGCCCCUCCUAUUGUAUAAU